ACGGAAGGCAGCAGUGGGGAAUAUUGGGCAAUGGGGGCAACCCUGACCCAGCAACGCCGCGUAUAGGAAGAAGGUCUUCGGAUUGUAAACUUCUUUUAUGAGGGACGAAGGACGUGACGGUACCUCAUGAAUAAGCCACGGCUAACUACGUGCCAGCAGCCGCGGUAAUACGUAGGUGGCAAGCGUUAUCCGGAUUUACUGGGUGUAAAGGGCGCGUAGGCGGGGAUGCAAGUCAGGUGUGAAGACUAUGGGCUUAACCCAUAAACUGCAUUUGAAACUGUAUCUCUUGAGUGCUGGAGAGGUAGACGGAAUUCCUUGUGUAGCGGUGAAGUGCGUAGAUAUAAGGAAGAACACCAGUGGCGAAGGCGGUCUACUGGACAGUAACUGACGCUGAGGCGCGAAAGCGUGGGGAGCAAACAGGAUUAGAUACCCUGGUA
rnacentral:rRNA from 1 species